rfam:Nocardiopsis sp. TSRI0078 scaffold4, whole genome shotgun sequence.
CACACAUCCCGCGGGAGCCGGGUGGAACCCGGCUGAGAGGGAGGCUGUGAGCCUCCGACCGCACGAACCUGAUCCGGAUCAUGCCGGCGAAGGGAGGGGAACUCAGCGCCGU